rnacentral:rRNA from 1 species
UGGGGAAUUUUGGACAAUGGGCGAAAGCCUGAUCCAGCAAUGCCGCGUGUGUGAAGAAGGCCUUCGGGUUGUAAAGCACUUUUGUCCGGAAAGAAAUCCUUGGCUCUAAUACAGUCGGGGGAUGACGGUACCGGAAGAAUAAGCACCGGCUAACUACGUGCCAGCAGCCGCGGUAAUACGUAGGGUGCAAGCGUUAAUCGGAAUUACUGGGCGUAAAGCGUGCGCAGGCGGUUUGCUAAGACCGAUGUGAAAUCCCCGGGCUCAACCUGGGAACUGCAUUGGUGACUGGCAGGCUAGAGUAUGGCAGAGGGGGGUAGAAUUCCACGUGUAGCAGUGAAAUGCGUAGAGAUGUGGAGGAAUACCGAUGGCGAAGGCAGCCCCCUGGGCCAAUACUGACGCUCAUGCACGAAAGCGUGGGGAGCAAACAGGAUUAGAUACCCUGGUAGUCCACGCCCUAAACGAUGUCAACUAGUUGUGGGGAUUCAUUCCUUAGUAACGUAGCUAACGCGUGAAGUUGACCGCCUGGGGAGUACGGUCGCAAGAUUAAAACUCAAAUGAAUUGACGGGGUCAUAGCUG